rnacentral:rRNA from 1 species
UGGGGAAUUUUGGACAAUGGGCGAAAGCCUGAUCCAGCAAUGCCGCGUGUGUGAAGAAGGCCUUCGGGUUGUAAAGCACUUUUGUCCGGAAAGAAAUCCUUGGCUCUAAUACAGUCGGGGGAUGACGGUACCGGAAGAAUAAGCACCGGCUAACUACGUGCCAGCAGCCGCGGUAAUACGUAGGGUGCAAGCGUUAAUCGGAAUUACUGGGCGUAAAGCGUGCGCAGGCGGUUUGCUAAGACCGAUGUGAAAUCCCCGGGCUCAACCUGGGAACUGCAUUGGUGACUGGCAGGCUAGAGUAUGGCAGAGGGGGGUAGAAUUCCACGUGUAGCAGUGAAAUGCGUAGAGAUGUGGAGGAAUACCGAUGGCGAAGGCAGCCCCCUGGGCCAAUACUGACGCUCAUGCACGAAAGCGUGGGGGAGCAAAACAGGAUUAGAUACCCUGGUAGUCCACGCCCUAAAACGAUGUCAACUAGUUGUUGGGGAUUCAUUUCCUUAGUAACGUAGCUAACGCGUGAAGUUGACCGCCUGGGGAGUACGGUCGCAAGAUUAAAACUUAAAGGAAUUGAC